rnacentral:rRNA from 1 species
CCGAGAAUAUUCCACAAUGCGCGAAAGCGUGAUGGAGCGACGCCGCGUGGAGGACGAAGCCCUUUGGGGUGUAAACUUCUUUUGUAGAUUAGAAAGUUUAUUGAUCAAUCUAAGAAUAAGAGGCUACUAACUCUGUGCCAGCAGUAGCGGUAAUACAGAGGCCUCAAGCGUUAUCCGGAAUCACUGGGCGUAAAGGGUGCGUAGGCGGUUUUGUUAGUCCCAUGUUAAAUAUUCUGGCUUCACCAGAAAAAUGCAUGGGAAACGGCAAAGCUGGAGGAUGUGAGGGGUGAAUGGAACUCAUGGUGUAGGGGUGAAAUCCGUUGAUAUCAUGGGGAACGCCAAAAGCGAAGGCAAUUCACUGGCACAUUCCUGACGCUGAGGCACGAAAGCGUGGGUAGCG